AACUGAUACUACCUGCGGGAACCUGCGGAAGGAUCAUUAGUGAUUAAUUAUUGAGUGUAAAAACUCAUAAUCUUCUAUACAAACCACUGUUUUAAAAUGUUUACUAGAAUGUCCAAGCAGUUAAGCUGUUGAAAUAUUAAAAGUUUAAUAAAACUUUUAACAAUGGAUCUCU
rnacentral:misc_RNA from 1 species